ensembl:snRNA U6 U6 spliceosomal RNA
GGGUGCUCACUUUGGCAGCCAUAUACUAAAAUUGGAAUGAUACAGAGAAGAUUAGCAUGGCCCCUGCACAAGAAUGGCACACAAAUUCAUGAAGCGUUCCAUAUUUUU